rnacentral:misc_RNA from 1 species
GUUGGAUUGGAAUAACUAACAUUGUAAGGUACAAGACAGAUGAUCCCCCAUUACAACCCUUCAUCGUUACUGAAUGCACAAACAAAAUAACAGGGAGAUACUAAUAUAUUUUCAUGAUAUAAAAAACCAAUUAACAGGAAAUGAUCAGACCAAUAUUAUGGAAAGAUCAAGUACACUGACAGCCUAAAUGACAUUACUAUCAUCUACAUCUUCAUCACUCGUCAUCGUCCUCCUCUUCGCUGCCCUCAUCUCCGUCUUCAUCAUCAUUCACCUCAGACAUUGACUUCUCAGAUUCAUCUUCUUCCGCAGCAUUGGCUCCACUGGCCUGUUUCUUGUUAUAGGCCUUCAUAUUUUUUUCAUAUUCAACCUUCCUCUUGUCAGCCUUAGCAAUGUAAGGUGCUUUUUCAGCAUCCGACAUUGAUUUCCAUUUCUGUCCAGCAGCUUUACCAACAGCAGACACUGCUUUGUUAUUAGGAUUCUCCUCAUUGAAUUUCUUCCUGAACUCUUCCAUAAAAACGAAGAAGGCACUGGCAGGCCUCUUGGGUUUGUUAGGAUCUUUCCCUGCCUUCUUACUUCCUUUCUUGCCCGCGUUGGCUGCACCUUUUUUCACUGCAAGCUUGGUGUCUGCUUUCUUCGACUCCGUCUUCGAUUUACCGCCUUUCAUUUCGAAUCCGACGGGAGGAGGUUGGGUUAGGUUAGGUUUAGGGUUUGAAGAGGGAGGAAGAAGCGGAGGUGCGUGUGAGAGAGAAAGAAGGAAGGGGUAGGAGGAGAAGGAGCUGUGAG